rnacentral:rRNA from 1 species
GCGUCAAAGCGUGUAACACAUAUAAAUCCAAAACCCAUACGCCACCCCCUGACAACCCACAGAGCAACUCUAUUUAACAAUAGAAGAACUAAUGCUAAAACUAGUAAUAAGAACUUAUUCUCCUUUUCACACCCAUCAAUCAGAAAUAGAUAACCUACUGAAAAUUAGUCAAACUACAAAAAAGAAACAAACCAACCCACAAGUAAAAAUUUAUAUACUUUUUGUGACACCAACACAGGAGUGUCCUAAGGAAAGAUUAAAAGCCCAACAAGGAAUUCAGCUAAUAAACCCCAACUGUUUACCAAAAACAUAGCCUUUAGCACUACAAGUAUUAAAGGUCUCGCCUGCCCAGUGAUUCUUUCAACGGCCGCGGUAUCCUAACCGUGCAAAGGUAGCGUAAUCAUUUGUCUCCUAAAUAGAGACUUGUAUGAACGGCUAACUGAGGGUUUAACUGUCUCCUAAGGCCAAUCAAUGAAACUGAUCUUCCAGUACAAAAGCUGAAAUAAACACAUAAGACGAGAAGACCCUGUGGAGCUUAAAAUACACACUAUUAUUUUACCCAUUCAACUACGGAGACAACACCCUAUUACAUAGUGAUACUUUUUAGUUGGGGCGACUUUGGAAUAAAAAAAAACUUCCAUGACACAGGGUUAUUCCCUACUAAGGCCUACAAGCCGAAAUAUUUUUUUUGACCCAGACAUCUGAUCAAC